UGUAUAAAAUGUGACAGCAACUUUUAUAUCAAACAUUUUGAAAUCGUCCAAAGCUGAACAAUGCUAGAGGCAUACAUGAAAACACACUAAAAAAUAAAUUAAGUUUGUGAGAGUUGCAUUUUAUUAGCUACAUUCAGAAAUAAUAACGGCAGGCCUAAUAAUGCUAUAGGCUAAUGAACCAACAGGAUAUUUUUGCUAUCAGUGUGAUAACUUUUUCUCAAACUUUUUUUUUUCUCUCAGAUCUUUUAUUUUCUCGCAUGGAAUAAAGACACAAUUCUAACUCCAUAACGCGCUGCCAAGAUGGCGACGGCCUACUCGGCACCAUAGACAGUAAAGCUCGGCACACACCGGUUCAAGCAACUGUCGAAGUUUUUUCCGAGGAUUACCGAGGUCUCAACAAGAACCGAAUGAGCCGUUGAUGUUAGCCGAUAAGUUAAUCGAUUUUAGUGUGCGAUUUCGACAGGGCCUUAAAUAAAUCAAGUCUAUGGUAACUUCAUGAGAACCGGCUCAAAAGAACGAUUCGUCCAAGAGCCGAACAUCACUAGUUCAGACCGGUUCAGACACGUCAACUCGCUUCCGUGUCUUCAAGAUUUCUUUUAUCGUCGACUGUUAAAGUUGGAUGUAUUAAUUCGGUUCGCACGCAUUUUGACUCGUCUUACAUGUGUUAAAUGUUGUGUCGAUAGAACCCUAAAGAAUAAUGUUAGCUGGAUUUAGAAGUGGAAGAACGGAGAGCUUGCAUAAGGACAGUUCCAGAGGCCACCAGACAACUAUGAAUCUACUUCACCCAUCGAAGAGCCUUCUUUAUUUGCUCCUAACCUUUGGACCCUUUCUAGGUGGAAUGUCGAUCCCGGUUGCAGUAAACAUUGGGGAUACUGCGAUUUUCACUUGUAAUGAGACAUGUAAUGGACAUCUCUUGUGGACAUUCCGCACUAACAAUGAAAAUCUAGACGUUGUAAAAUGUGUCCAAGAGACUUGCACCAAAGGAGACAACUUUAAGAACAGAGUGAGCCUUAAGCCUGGAAAAAUGUCUCUAGCCCUGUAUCCUGUUCUGUACAAUGAUGAAGGCUGGUACAUUGUCAAAUGUGAUUCAGCGGUUGCCUGUAGAUUCCACUUAGAAGCUCUUGUACCAACUACUGUGAGCACCUCAGUCAGUAGCAAUGUCACACUACCCUGCUAUGCACGCACAGAGAAACAAAUCACUGAUGACACUGUGAAUAUCCUGUGGAAAAAAGAUGACCGAACGGUGUUACAAGUUCAAAAAGGAAUUACAACAUAUGGCUCAGGAUUUACAGGCAGGGUAUUAGUUUCACUGCACUAUUAUAAGGACGGAGAUCUUUCCCUUAACAUGGUCAGGGUCACCAUGUCAGAUAAGGGAUUGUACCGGUGCUAUCACAGAACUACAGAAGAACAGGGUUAUCCUGGUGCUGUUACUCUCAAUGUUACAGCUGAUCAAAAGUUUUAUGCAAAAAAGUUUGGGGGAAAUCUCACCCUGGACCUGUUUGGCUCUGACCAUGUAAGGGUAACUUUCACCGUUCAUGAUGCAGAUGAGACGCCUGUUUGCAGUGUGACGGGAAACAAACCUACAUGCUCAUCUGAGUACACGCACAGAAUAUCUGUCAUAAAUGACUUCCUUGUGCUGCGCGAGUUAACGUCCACUGAUACAGGCACAUUUACUGUGAAAAAUGAGAUGGAUGAAGUCAUUGGUGUCAACACUGUCACUGUGGAGGGUGUGACCCAGAGACAUCACUACAUAGCUCUGUCUGUGAUAAUUGGUUUCAUUCUCAUUUGCCUGUUCCUUUGCUGUCAGUGUUGUAGACAGUCACAAGCACAGCAGUAUCGCUGCAGUUAUAGUGCAAUACAGUCUAAUGUGAAUAUAAAUCCAGAACCGAUGAGAGAGCCUGCAUGCAUUGAAUUUUCACAAGAAGAAACCAACCCAGAGCCUGAAGUUCAUCUACACACACCUGUCGAGGAGACCAUGCCUGAGCCUGUGAGGACCACUGAGAAGCAAGACAACACUGAAGAGUAUAUUACGUGUGGAAUAGGAAUUAGAGAAACAAUUUAAGAAUACUUUAAGAGAACUGAAAAAAAAAAAAAAAAAAUCCUCCUCAAAUGUUCUUCCGCUGCUGUAUUAUAUGCUAUGAAAAAGAUGGCAUUAGAUUUAAUUGGAUAUUCUUUGAGCAACUGCAUAACUGUGCCAGUGAACAAUAUGUUAAACUUGAAGAGAAAUUGAUUAUAUUUUUUACUUCAGGAAGGCCUGUAGCUGCAGUCUUGUUUUUGGCCAAAAAUAUAAAUUUUCCAUCAUCAAUAGUGUAGCGAUGUAUAAAGCACAGCACAGUCACUUUCAAUUCCAGUUAGCCACAGAGUGUUAAAUUAAUGUGAAGUAUUUUUAUUGUAAAUCAUAUAAUAGCCUUUUUUUCUGACAUGUUUACAUUGCUGUUAGGCAUCUUAAAUCAUUAGGCUUGGGGUGCACAACUAUUAUUCUUGUCGUAAUGAUGAUGUCAGAUGUGGCCACACUGGAAACCCACUUGCUUGACUGUGCUUAUUCUUAAUAAGCAUUAUUCUGCACUUUGAUAUAUUGCACUUUUUCUAUUCUAUUUAUAAGCUUUCGAUACUAACCUUGUGGUAUAACCUUUUUUCUAUUGAAUUUGUUUUAUUAAGUAAAAUGUUUACAAUGUAAAGUAUUACACACACUAAAAUGUUUACAGUGUAUCUGUGUAUUCUAUUAAUUUUUAUGAUCAAAACUCACAUAAUAUGAAUGAAUGAAUGAUUAAUUUAAUAACAAAUUCAAAGCAUGAAAUUUUCCAGAAGAUGAAAAGGUAUAUUACUGUUUUUUUAAAACAAAAUGUCUUUAGUAAUAGCUAAAGUAAUACUAGUUUUAGUAAUUUUACCACUCUACGUGAAAUUUCAGAAUGUAUACAUUAAUACCAUAAUAUUAAUUUAAAGAGUUUUCCUUUUAUAUAUACAUACAGUUGUGCACAUAAGUUUACAUACCCAUUUUAGAAUAUGCAAAAUGUUUAUAAUUUUAACAAAAUAAGAGGGAACAAAAAAAAAUUGCAUGUUAU
ensembl:lncRNA